rnacentral:lncRNA from 1 species
AUUGAACCGUUACACGUAUUUGAACUACGACGUAUCACACACCACCUCGCCGGCUCAUGCAAUCCCUAGUAAUAUGCAAGUGGGCCAGUACAGAGCCACGGAUGUCAUCGUAGCAAACGACUGUGCCCCUGAGCACUUGCGCAAACUAGUGCAAGAGAAGAAGCUUCGGGUCUAUACACACCAGAGCAAAAGGUACUACGGCAUAGACCUGUUACGCUUAUCGCCGGAUUUGCAACCCGGUGCGUGGUAUAGAGACAAAGAAACAGCGCUGUCUGAUUGCGUUAGAAAGGCAUACUCCGAAAAACGUAGAGCUGGCGAACCGCUGGAAUGUACUUCGGAGACGCUCUCCGCUGCAGAUAGCGACCGCGUAGGGGCGUUUGGUCCGUGUGCAAAACGAACACAGGCCGAAGUACAGCCGGGUGCGGUGCCCGACAUGCGCAAUGUCAUGGCGGACGCGGCCUCUAGCGGCCAACAGCCAAGCCAUAAAACGGGGGCGCGAGCGCCUACGGGUGUUGCUACCGUGGAGGACACGCUUACUCGCGCACCCUCGGUCCCGCAGGUGCCGGCUGCGUGCAAUGUAGCUGCUGCGGGAAACCAUCAGUCAAGAACACAGCAGGGGCAGACGACUAGGCCGUCUCUCGGUCAACCCAGUCGCGUUAAAUGUCUUGUUCGUACUAAGCAGACCAAAGGCGAGUCCGACGUCACCAUGGUCAUUGUCACGAACCCCACGGAGGACGACGUCGCGUGUUUUGAACGCGACGUCGUGGAAAGAGCAUGUCGGCUGACAAAAGAACAUCCCUUAUUGUUUGCCGGACCUAGGGAAUCCGUGUACAAGCAAGCUAAGGCUCAUGGGCUAUACGUGUUUCAAUACGGUCAGUUUUUCAGAUCUACCAAGAUGAUCAACUGGGUGGUGGAACAGGGAGAGUCCUUUUAUCCGUGUUUCAUGCAAGUUCUCUUGACAUUGAAAGCUGCCGCCGAGAAGAACGUGCUACCUACGAACAUGGCAACCGAUUACCUACUGCUCGGCCGAGGGGCUGUCAUGAUCGACAUAGUGGGUUAUCUGAGC